rnacentral:rRNA from 1 species
UACGUAGGGGGCUAGCGUUGUUCGGAAUUACUGGGCGUAAAGGGCGCGUAGGCGGUGUGUCAAGUCAGGUGUGAAAGCCCCGGGCUCAACCUGGGAACGGCGCUUGAGACUGGCACGCUAGAGUUCGGGAGAGGAUGGUGGAAUUCCCAGUGUAGAGGUGAAAUUCGUAGAUAUUGGGAAGAACACCGAUGGCGAAGGCAGCCAUCUGGACCGACACUGACGCUGAGGCGCGAAAGCGUGGGGAGCAAACAGG